ACUCCUACGGGAGGCAGCAGUAGGGAAUCUUCCACAAUGGACGAAAGUCUGAUGGAGCAACGCCGCGUGAGUGAUGAAGGUUUUCGGAUCGUAAAACUCUGUUGUAAGGGAAGAACAAGUACGAGAGGGAAUGCUCGUACCUUGACGGUACCUUGCGAGAAAGCCACGGCUAACUACGUGCCAGCAGCCGCGGUAAU
rnacentral:rRNA from 1 species